UACGUAGGGUGCGAGCGUUGUCCGGAAUUAUUGGGCGUAAAGAGCUCGUAGGCGGUUUGUUGCGUCUAUCGUGAAAACCUGCGGCUUAACUGUGGGCUUGCGGUGGAUACGGGCAGACUUGAGUUCGGUAGGGGAGACUGGAAUUCCUGGUGUAGCGGUGAAAUGCGCAGAUAUUAGGAAGAACACCGGUGGCGAAGGCGGCUCUCUGGAACGGUACUGACGCUGAGACGCGAAAGCGUGGGGAGCGAACAGG
rnacentral:rRNA from 1 species